UUGAACGCUGGCGGAAUGCUUUACACAUGCAAGUCGAGCGGCAGCGCGGGGGCAACCCUGGCGGCGAGCGGCGAACGGGUGAGUAACACAUCGGAACGUACCCAGUUGUGGGGGAUAGCCCGGCGAAAGCCGGAUUAAUACCGCAUACGACCUGAGGGUGAAAGGGGGGGAUCGCAAGACCUCUCGCAGUUGGAGCGGCCGAUGGCGGCUUAGCUAGUUGGUGGGGUAAAGGCCUACCAAGGCGACGAUCCGUAGCUGGUCUGAGAGGACGACCAGCCACACUGGAACUGAGACACGGUCCAGACUCCUACGGGAGGCAGCAGUGGGGAAUUUUGGACAAUGGGGGCAACCCUGAUCCAGCCAUUCCGCGUGAGUGAAGAAGGCCUUCGGGUUGUAAAGCUCUUUCGGCGGGAACGAAACGGUGGAGGCUAAUACCUUUCAUCAAUGACGGUACCUGAAGAAGAAGCACCGGCUAACUACGU
rnacentral:rRNA from 1 species